rnacentral:lncRNA from 1 species
CCACAAGAUCAUAAACAAACUUACCAUCUCUCAAUAGAUGAUCAUUCGAGUACAAAAUCCAAACCAAUUGAUAAACAAUCUCACAUUCUUUUUAAAAGAUAAAGAAGCAUCAGCUUCAAUAUUUCAAAUUCAAGAUCAAUAACCAAUGGUCCACUCAUCCUAAUAUACUAAAUAUUUCUUUAACAUAAUAGAGAGUAGACA